UGGGGAAUAUUGGACAAUGGGCGAAAGCCUGAUCCAGCCAUGCCGCGUGUGUGAAGAAGGUCUUCGGAUUGUAAAGCACUUUAAGUUGGGAGGAAGGGCAGUAAGCGAAUACCUUGCUGUUUUGACGUUACCGACAGAAUAAGCACCGGCUAACGCUGUGCCAGCAGCCGCGGUAAUACAGAGGGUGCAAGCGUUAAUCGGAAUUACUGGGCGUAAAGCGCGCGUAGGUGGUUCGUUAAGUUGAAUGUGAAAGCCCCGGGCUCAACCUGGGAACUGCAUCCAAAACUGGCGAGCUAGAGUGUGGGAGAGGAUGGUAGAAUUCCAGGUGUAGCGGUGAAAUGCGUAGAGAUCUGGAGGAAUACCGAUGGCGAAGGCAGCCAUCUGGCCUAACACUGACGCUGAGGUGCGAAAGCAUGGGGAGCAAACAGG
rnacentral:rRNA from 1 species